CUUAUACAGAUAAGUCUCAAGAACUAACCUCAAGUGAUAUGUACUCUUCAUCUGCUGGACAUGGUGGUACAAACCUGUAAUCAUUGCCCUUGGGAAACUGGGGCAGCAGGAUGAAGAGUUCAAGAUAAGCUCAGAUAUUAUACGGAGUUCAGAACCAGGCAGAUUAUAUAGUGAAAUGCUCUCCUAAACAACAACAACAACAGCAAAACAUUUGAGUACCUCUACACAAAACGGAUACUGGUAAAAUUUUGUUGAGUAAAAUAUACCGCAUUUAAUAAUAUCCAAAGGUUUGGCUAAUUAAAUAAGACUUACCAGUAAAUAGGCAGCCAAACAGUGUAUCGCCAGUAAGGUAUUUUAUAUGCAGUGUUUUUACCCAAGUCUAUAGUCACAUAAGUAAUUUGAUCUAAUUUAUACAGAUAAGCAGUCACUUUCAAAACUAACUCACUCACCAUAGUAAACUCUAGUCUGACUUCAGAGCCACGGGUUUUCUACCACACCAUGCAGUACAUCAGGAAAAGAAAUUUUGUUUUUAGUAUUCUUGGGAAGCCAUUAGGGUUCAUCAGAGGUACACUAGAAAGGGGUGAGGGGAGAAUGUUAAAGAGAGGUUUCAAGGGAUUGGCUCAAGAUUGCCAAAGCUGAGGUCUGGAGAAUAGAUAGACAGACAGACAGUAAUAGUGGACUUUGCAUUCUGGGAUCUGAAACCAAUAACAGAAAACUGCCGGACUGAAAAGAGAGGCAGGAUUUUUAUGCUGGAGUCUUCAGAAAGAAAGCCUAAAUCUUUGCUCUUAAACCCUUUAACAGAAGAGACAAGGCCCAGCCACUUUGAAGAAGAAAAUCUGCUUAAAAUCUACAGAUUAUAAGUGUUCGCAGCAUCUUCACCUUUGUUGGGCCAAACAACUGGAUGUUACAGCCUAACGAACACAUAAAAUGAACCACCACAGAGAGAAACUUUAAACUUAAGUAAUGAAAGAAAUCCCAUUACCUAAAGCAACAACAACAAAAGGAAGUCAAGGUUCAUACAAAGGAUUCUUUUAUACUCUUAAAUGCAAGUAUAUUUUACACGAUAAUAUAAUAUAGUAGAAUACACUAGACUUGCAUGUUUAAAAAGAAUGUCCUCUGGAUAUGCAGACUUACAGCAGUUUAACAUGAUCAUGGAACAUAAUCCAGCAUAUUUUAACUAAAUCAGAUGAUUCUAAAAUUGCCCAAAGUAGAUGGUUAGCACAACGCUCUUAUGAGAUGAAAAAAACAAAGUGAAUACGAAUAUGGAUCAAAGAAGCAGAAUCACUGAAAGUGGUGCAAAAGGAAUUUAUUAUAGAGAUUUGUUAUUAUAAUACAGGCUUUCUUAUGGAGAAGCUGGUGUGGUCAGGUUAGGGAGGAAUGAUUACAGGCUUAUAGAAAAGCCACUAACGUGGGAGCAGGGAGGGAAACUGGUAAAGAGUCUUAUGAAAGCCUUCAGCUUCAAUGUCUGGUAGUGAGUGUGAAGUCACUAGUCAGUGAAAAGAAGUAAGAGGCUUGGACACGUGAUCUAUGAGAAAAAAAAAUGGAACCCUUGGUUUUUCCUCACUGUGCCUUACCCCAGUGACCCAGAAGAAGCUGGUACUGUUAGCCAUGGAGCUAGUGCUGGAUACAGAGAAGCUAGAGAUACUGCAAGCCUGGGCUACUACUACUUAACAUGAGGCAAACUGACAGAAUAAGACAUGUGUACAAGUUGCCACAAUACUAGAAUGUUCAUACUCAGUUUGCCUUCGGGAAAUGACUUAGCCGGGAAGGUUCCUUGCCUUAAUGAACUGACCCACCUUUCCUGAGUAGUCUAUUCAUAGAGAGUAUUAUAGUUUACCCACAGAGUCUAUGAGCAGUACCAAGAACAGUCCUAAAGUCUCCUGCGUUUCUUCUUCGGCUGUGUUGCUAUUUAGUUGGCUCAAUCACUCCAGAUAGUAUAAUCAUUCCUUCCUGGCUUUGAGAGUUAACUAGGAGUCCAGAAUGGCCAAGUGGCAGUCUCAACUUCCAAUGUAACUGAAUAUAAGCCCCAGUAGGGAAUUCUCUUCUAGAGUAUUCAGAGGGAGCAAGAAUUCAACUUUGGAUUUAUAGUUUUCAUAACAACGAGGAAUUAAAACACCUGCUGUUUUUGGCACCUAGGUUAUAGCCAUUUGUUAUAGCAGCCCUGGGAGACAUACAGGAAUGAUACUCAGUUCUGAUGCUGGGUCAGAACAGAUUUUAAGAUUCUUCUAGAUUCAUUUCUCUGUGCCAGCGUUAAUAGUGUCCCCUGCUCAUGACAGAGCCGCUGCACAUACACUCACUGCAUUGGAGGCUGCCUGUCCAAGACCAGCACAUGAUCAAGC
ensembl:lncRNA